rnacentral:tRNA from 1 species
AGGGGAAUCUUCUAAUGGUAGGAAAGCGGUCUCCAAAACCGUCAAUGGGGGUUCGACUCCCUCUUCCCCUG